UAAAGCGUUGGUUUUGUAUCACGUGAAUCCUAUCAACCAAUCAGAAAUAGCGCGGGCGAAACGAAAAAAGAAAAAACGCGAUUGGAAAUGGAUGGUUAAUAAAAUUCAGAAUAUUGCAAAACAAGGACAGUGUAUACAGCGUGUUUAAAUCUUCCAGAAAUGCAGCUGUGCCCUCUUUACAGCAGUUAUAGAUGAAGCAAAGUAUGGUAGCAAGUAAUAUAGAUGUAAGUUCACGUAUAUACAUUGUUGUAUUUUGUGAAUAAAAUAAGACAAUUACACGGACGUACUGUCUGUAAGCGAUUUAUUAAGCCAUACUUCUAUAGACAUCCAAACGUGAUCAAGUUCGCAGAAUUAUUUUCCUCAGAUUCAGAAACAAUCUUGACACCAUUAGCCAUAAUGGCCGGAAAAGUCAUAACAUACCUUAAUCUUAUUCGAUAGUCAAACCUUACUAGCGCCUUUUCAAAAAGUAAAGAGAUACUGGUGCAACAGCUUUUUGAAACUUAAUUUAAAAAAAAAAAAAGAUAGAAAAAAUUCCGUCUCGCCUUAUGUAAACAUACCGUUUUACAACGUUUACAAUUAAAAUUACUCAAGCGAAAGAUUCCGAUUCCGCGUUACAUAAUAUAGAUCAUUUUAGCCGUGUCGCGACGGGGCCAACGUGGUGGGUUUGCGGCCGGCAUGGAUCCGGACCGGCCUGCGCUUACAAACCCUAUUACAAGUACAGAAACUGUUAGCGAGCAGCGUGGAUCCUGAUCGGACUGCGCGGGUGCGCGGGCUGGUCUGGAUCCAUGCUGGUCGCGGGCCCAUUGUGUUGGUUUUGUCGUGACGCGGCUCAU